AUUCUCGCAUUUUAUCUCUUUCUUUUACCUCUGUUUUCAUUCUUAUAAUUCUCGCAAUCUAUGAAGCGAAGAGAUGAGCGGUAACCAAGGGAAAGAGAAAGAAAAG
rnacentral:ribozyme from 1 species